rnacentral:rRNA from 1 species
AACGAACGUUGGCGGCGUGGAUUAGGCAUGCAAGUCGAGCGGGAUUUACCUUUUUCAAUCCUUCGGGAGAGAAGUUGGUAAUGAGAGCGGCGAACGGGUGAGUAAUACCUGGGUAAUUUGCCUCUUUGUUCGGGAUAGCCAUCGGAAACGAUGAUUAAUACCGGAUGUGUUCAGGUGCUGCAUGGCACCUUAUAUAAAGGCGGGGAUUCUUUUGAACCUGUCGCAAAGAGAUAAGCCCAGGUCCUAUCAGCUUGUUGGUGAGGUAACGGCUCACCAAGGCUUACGGGUAGCUGGUCUGAGAGGAUGGUCAGCCACACUGGGACUGAGACACUGCCCAGACUCCUACGGGAGGCUGCAGUCGAGAAUCAUUGUCAAUGCACGAAAGUGUGAACAUGCGACGCCGCGUGGAGGAAGACGGCCUUCGGGUUGUAAACUCCUGUCAGCAGGGAGGAAUCAUGGUUUUGCUAAUAUCAAUACCAUUUGACAGUACCUGCAGAGGAAGUCACGGCUAACUCUGUGCCAGCAGCCGCCGUAAUAC